UUGGAGGGCAAGUCUGGUGCCAGCAGCCGCGGUAAUUCCAGCUCCAAUAGCGUAUAUUAAAGUUGUUGCAGUUAAAAAGCUCGUAGUUGAAUUUCGGGAUUAAUUUAUCGGUCGUGCUUUUGUACGUACUGGUAUUAUUGAUUCCUACCUUCUGACGAACCAUGAUGUCAUUAAUUUGGUGUCUUGGGGAAUCAGGACUGUUACUUUGAAAAAAUUAGAGUGUUUAAAGCAGGCUCACGCUUGAAUACAUUAGCAUGGAAUAACGAAAUAGGACGUUUGAUUCUAUCUUGUUGGUUUCUAGGAYCGMCGUAAUGAUUAAUAGGGAUAGUUGGGGGCAUUAGUAUUCAAUUGUCAGAGGUGAAAUUCUUGGAUUUAUUGAAGACUAACUACUGCGAAAGCAUUUGCCAAGGAUGUUUUCAUUAAUCAAGAACGAAAGUUAGGGGAUCGAAGACGAUCAGAUACCGUCGUAGUCUUAACCAUAAACUAUGCCGACUAGGGAUCGGAUGAUGUUAAUUUUUUAAUGACUCAUMKKWKKCRKKRCGGGAAAC
rnacentral:rRNA from 1 species